AUUGAACGCUGGCGGCAGGCUUAACACAUGCAAGUCGAGCGGGGUGAUGGUGCUUGCACUAUCACUUAGCGGCGGACGGGUGAGUAAUGCUUAGGAAUCUGCCUAUUAGUGGGGGACAACAUUCCGAAAGGAAUGCUAAUACCGCAUACGUCCUACGGGGGAAAGCAGGGGAUCACUUGUGACCUUGCGCUAAUAGAUGAGCCUAAGUCGGAUUAGCUAGUUGGUGGGGUAAAGGCCUACCAAGGCGACGAUCUGUAGCGGGUCUGAGAGGAUGAUCCGCCACACUGGGACUGAGACACGGCCCAGACUCCUACGGGAGGCAGCAGUGGGGAAUAUUGGACAAUGGGGGGAACCCUGAUCCAGCCAUGCCGCGUGUGUGAAGAAGGCCUUAUGGUUGUAAAGCACUUUAAGCGAGGAGGAGGCUCUUUUGGUUAAUACCCAAGAUGAGUGGACGUUACUCGCAGAAUAAGCACCGGCUAACUCUGUGCCAGCAGCCGCCGUAA
rnacentral:rRNA from 1 species